rnacentral:rRNA from 1 species
CCCUUAGAUGUUCUGGGCCGCACGCGCGCUACACUGAUGCAUUCAACGAGCCUAUCCUUGACCGACAGGUCCGGGUAAUCUUUGAAUCUGCAUCGUGACGGGGAUAGAUUAUUGCAAUUAUUAAUCUUCAACGAGGAAUGCCUAGUAGACGCGAGUCAUAAGCUCGCAUCGAUUAAGUCCCUGCCCUUUGUACACACCGCCCGUCGCUACUACCGAUUGAACGUUUUAGUGAGGCAUUUGGACCGACGCAUCUCAGUUUAACCGCUGGUUUGUGUUGGAAAGACUUCCAAACUUGAGCGUUUAGAGGAAGUAAAAGUCGUAACA